rnacentral:rRNA from 1 species
UGAGGAAUAUUGGUCAAUGGGCGGAAGCCUGAACCAGCCAAGUCGCGUGAGGGAUUAAGGCCCUGCGGGUCGUAAACCUCUUUUGCCGGGGAGCAGAGGUCCGGACGUGUCCGGGCCGGGAGAGUACCCGGAGAAAAAGCAUCGGCUAACUCCGUGCCAGCAGCCGCGGUAAUACGGAGGAUGCGAGCGUUCUCCGGAUUUAUUGGGUUUAAAGGGUGCGUAGGCGGGCAUUUAAGCCGGCGGUCAAAUGUCGGGGCUCAACCCCGGCCUGCCGUCGGAACUGGGUGCCUUGAGUGGGCGAGAAGUAUGCGGAAUGCGUGGUGUAGCGGUGAAAUGCAUAGAUAUCACGCAGAACCCCGAUUGCGAAGGCAGCAUACCGGCGCCCUACUGACGCUGAGGCACGAAAGUGCGGGUAUCGAACAGG